GGCGCCGUCGCCACGCCCGCCACCGCCGCGCGCACGCCCAGCUCGUCGCUCAUCAGCCCCGGCAACCCGCUCAACUCGGUGCACAGGGAGACAGCCGCCCGGUACAUGGUGAGCCGACAGCGUGGCGGCGCAGCCGCCCGCCAGCGGCUCCGUCUGGCGGCGGAGGCCGACCCGAGGCCGGCCGCCGACGCCGACGUCCAGCUCAUGGCCGAGGUCAUCGGCAAAGACGCUGACUGGCUGCUGGGCCAGUCGGACCUCCGCCGCGAGGACGAGGACGAGGACGACUACUUCGAGUUCGAGGACGACUGAGACCGCGGCCGUCCGGUCGCCGUCUGGCGGGUCAGCUGCGGCAUGGGAAGCAGUGCUGUGCAGUGCGGCAGUGCUAUCGUGACCUGAUUCUUAAGCGCGGUGCCAUACGGCGUCGGCCGUGGUGGCGCUCUCGGCCGUCUGACCUCCGAGCGUUGUGGCCGGAGCGUGAUCAUCACCGUCGCGGCUGGUCCUAGAGCGGCCCCGACAGGCUGGCGGUGUUCCGCCGGGUAAGACUGGUCCGAGAGCGGCCCCGACAGGCCGACGGUGUUCCGCCGGCCAGGACUGGUCCGAGAGCGGCCCCGACAGGCUGGCAGUGUUCUGCCGGCCAGGAGGAGCGGUCCGAGGCGGCCCCGACAAGCAGGUCGUGGAGCCGUCGCCGCCGCCGGCCCCGCGGGGAGGGCGUGGCGCCACCUCCCCCUCGCCGGUGUUGUUGCUGUCGCGGAUCAGAGCCGGAACUGUCGUUACCGAUCGUCGAUCGGCUCGGGUAGACGGCCGAUCGGUUUUUACCUGCGUGCUUUGUGCUUGUUGGCUUCGGAGUGUACCGUUUGUGUGCCGUGCGGUGGGCGUCGUAUGUGGAUGGACGAGAAAUGGUGCGUGCGCGAGGCAGGCAACGCUGCUUGCCCUUCGAGACUUUUUUUCGCGUCCUUUGCCUUUGUCUGCUUUUGUGUGCACAGAUUUGGCGGACGUAGACAUGUGAGGCUAAGCUCGCGCCAAAUGACGCCGGCAUGGCGGCGUUCCAGCCUAGUCCCUCAGCUAGAGAU